ACUUAAAUUGAAGAGUUUGAUCAUGGCUCAGAUUGAACGCUGGCGGCAGGCCUAACACAUGCAAGUCGAGCGGUAGCACAGAGAGCUUGCUCUCGGGUGACGAGCGGCGGACGGGUGAGUAAUGUCUGGGAAACUGCCUGAUGGAGGGGGAUAACUACUGGAAACGGUAGCUAAUACCGCAUAACGUCGCAAGACCAAAGUGGGGGACCUUCGGGCCUCAUGCCAUCAGAUGUGCCCAGAUGGGAUUAGCUAGUAGGUGGGGUAACGGCUCACCUAGGCGACGAUCCCUAGCU
rnacentral:rRNA from 2 species